UACGUAGGGUCCGAGCGUUAAUCGGAAUUACUGGGCGUAAAGCGUGCGCAGGCGGUUUUGUAAGCCAGAUGUGAAAGCCCCGGGCUCAACCUGGGAACUGCAUUUGGGACUGCAAGGCUAGAAUCUGGCAGAGGGGGGUAGAAUUCCACGUGUAGCAGUGAAAUGCGUAGAGAUGUGGAGGAACACCGAUGGCGAAGGCAGCCCCCUGGGUCAAGAUUGACGCUCAUGCACGAAAGCGUGGGGAGCAAACAGG
rnacentral:rRNA from 1 species